rnacentral:rRNA from 1 species
UACGUAGGUGGCAAGCGUUAUCCGGAUUUAUUGGGCGUAAAGGGAACGCAGGCGGUCUUUUAAGUCUGAUGUGAAAGCCCGGGGCUCAACCCCGGCGAGCCGUUGAAACUGGCUGUCUUGAGAUGUCGAGAGGUAUGCGGAAUGCGCAGUGUAGCGGUGAAAUGCUUAGAUAUUGCGCAGAACUCCGAUUGCGAAGGCAGCAUACCGGCGCUCAACUGACGCUCAUGCACGAAAGCGUGGGUAUCGAACAGG